CCCGAGAGAUGGUUCAAAACGGCCGGAGGAGGGUGCUUGUCGACUCUUUCCAUGGACGAGGACAUCUCUUGUAUCCCAGUACACAUGACGAACAGGAGGAGGCGGCUAUGGCACCGGCGGCGAGUUUUUAGCGCUGCAAACUGCAGGUGAGCCUCCGAAUCCACCUUUUAGUUUACCCUCCUCCCGUGAGCAGAUGCAGGGACUAUGGUGAGGCUGCUUAUGUAUGAGCACGGCGCGGUUGUCUACUGCGAGGACGGUGAUCGUCCGGGACUAGAGCGAUCCCGUGUGUCCGUCGACGUACAUACCAUGACCGACCGCCGGCGGCGUGCAUGGUUCAGAGCGUCAAGGAGCCACUGGCUCACCUCCACCUCGUUUUACACAGAGAGAAGAUUUGGAGCAGCUGCAGAUAUAUAGAUGGCACAGACAGAACUGCCAUGGUCGCACCAUUCCGCUGGGGUUCAUUUAGAUGGUUUUAUGCUGCUAUUAACUCGUUGGAGCUGCAGUCAGUUUUUAUUGCUUCUUUUUUCUUUGGCUGAUCACUCCUGUUGUUCUGCCUGUGUAAUAGCGCGCCUGUGCGUUUGUUUUCUGAACUUUGCAUGUACCUCUCCUAGUUUACUCUUCUUCUUCCUCUUCUUCUUCUUCUUCUUCUUCUUCUUCUUCUUCUCCUUCCCCUUACCAUUUUUUCUUUUCUUUUUGAUGAGAAACUCUCCUUACUAUUUUCUGAGAGAGAUCCCCCUCUCCUUACUAUGGAAAGUUUUUUAGCCUGAUCUCUCCCAAAUGAAAGCUGAUAGUACAACCGUAAAGAUAUCACAAGUUCAUCUUCCCCCAGCAGCAGGCAGCAGAUCCUCCACUCAAAACACCAAAAGCUUCGAAAAGCAACAAAACACAACCAAACACUUGCUACAACACCAGAACCUGAAAACCGAAGGAGAAAAAGGAAAAAGAGAUUUUCACAGCACCGAAAGAAACCCAAGAGCUAGCUGCAUGUGUGAUUACCUUCCGGGACACUUUCUACCCAUCGAUCCUCAACAUCGUCGGCGCCCUCCUAGAGAUCUCGGACACAACUUUCAGCGGGCGUCUUGCCGCUUCUUCGGUCACUGUUUCAAUGGUGGAAGUACCUCGGUCGCAGUUGUAUUUUCUGCGCUCCAGUUUCAAGGCUUCUUUAUCUAUCUAUCUAUCUGUCUAUGUUGAAGUCAAUAGAAAUCCUACUAUUGCUGAUGAGAUCAGAAUGGUAGCGAUUGCCUGCAAGUGGGGCAUUGGAUCUUGUGGAAGAGUUGAAUUGGAAUCAGUCAUUGCUCAGGAAUUUUUUUUAAGAGACGGAGGACAAUGGGUUGCGUUUUGAGGCCUGGAUGGCCCGCGGUGGUUCCUUCUCUCUCUGCGGCCCAACUAUCUUAUCUCAAGGCCGACAAACAGGGCAGCUUGGUGCUCUGCUCAACUCUAAAACAGGGCCCGUUUCGAAGGCCGAAAAUGAGGGUGGAUUACAGGCCGAAUAAGAGGAAGGAGACAUUGGUGAGACCGACCACUUAUCGCCAAUUUUCACUUCACCACCUCCAGUUGAAAUUUAGUGACAAUGGUUUACUGAAAGAUGAUGCUUCCUCUGUUCUGGCUUAUUCCUGCACAUAUUUUUAGGAAAAAAAAAUCUAUGUGUGCUAUUGUUUUAGGGAUUGGGGCUGUUUGUAAUUGAUUAUAAAGGCACUCUUCACAUUCGAUCAUUAGAAAAUAUUCACGCGAUACAUGUAUCUUGAUUCAUUUGGAAACUGUUCUCCUGUGUGGACUAUAUUGCUCAUGGGAUCUGUUUCAACUGUAUUUGUGGUACAUGUUUAUAGUCA